ACCAAAUUUCCCGCUAGAACAUUCAAUGUUGUGGGAAACCCUCUAUUAUGUGGAGGCCAUUCUACUGAAGCUUACUGUGGAACACACAUGCCUAUUCCGCUUUCCUUCUCUCUAGAUUCAUCACAGAGAAAAUCCAAGAAUAUGAAAGUAGUUGUUGCAAUUAGUGCUAGCCUUUGCUCUGCCUUUCUUAUUCUACUAAC